rnacentral:lncRNA from 1 species
UUUUAAGAGAAAAAGACUAGGAUAGCACCAAACCAAGUUUUUGUUCCCAAAGUAGCACUCAAGGCUCAAAGUCACAAAAAUAGGUUUCAUUAAAGAGGUAAAUAUACACUUAUACCCCUUGGGUUAAUUAAUCCAAACCUUAGGGUUUAGAGUUAAGGGGGUGGAAUUUAUUUUUUUAUUUUUUUUUUAUUUAUUUUUAUUUAUUUUUGUUUAUUUAUUUAAUUUUAAACCAAGGGUAUUAGGGAUAUUUUACCCUUUAAUGAAUGUCAUUUUUGUGACUUUCUCCUUCUAGUGCUAUUUUUGAGACAUAAACUUCAAAAGGUGCUAUUAUUGACAAUUGCCCUUUUU